rnacentral:misc_RNA from 1 species
CAUGCCUUCUCAGACCUAGAGAGGGAUCGUGGGUAUCUUCUUCCUGAUGAUGUAUAUGAGGCAUUGGUGAAAAUUGGUUUCACGCUAGACUCUCCAGCUUUUUACACGGUCUGUGAGAGCUUUGACCAAAAGAAGAACGGAAGAUUUCGUCUGGAUGACUUUAUUUCUCUCUGUAUCUUUCUGCAGUCUGCUCGGAAUCUUUUUAAUUCAUUUGAUACAGCUAAGCAAGGCAGAGUUACUCUUGAUCUCAAUCAGUUUGUUUACUGCACUGCCAAUUGUAGAAUAUGAAACCAACAGUGCAGCCGUGAAGUUCCUGNNNNNNNNNNNNUGUUGAUAUAAUAAUUGGGUGAGCAGCUGCUGUUGUCUUUGAUAAUGUAACAAAUCGUGGG